AUGCUUGACCUCUCACAUAACAAAUUCAGUGGCAAUAUUUCUCCAGGGUUUGGCAGUUGCUCCAUGCUGAGAGUGCUAAAGGUUGGCCACAACAACCUUACCGGGCCUCUCCCUGAUGGACUAUUCAAUGCUACCUCACUGGAGCACCUCUCUUUGGCCAACAAUGGUUUGCAAGGUGUUCUUGAUGGUUCCAGCAUAGUCAAAUUAAGCCGUCUGACUGUCCUUGAUCUUGGAUCAACUGGUCUCAGUGGCAAGAUUCCAGAAUCUGUCGGUCAGCUAAGAAGAUUGGAGGAACUCUAUUUGGACAACAACAAUAUGUCUGGUGAGCUGCCAUCGGCACUAGAUAACUGCUCAAAUCUCAGAUACAUUACCAUCAGAAACAACAGCUUUAUCGGGGAUCUUAGCACAGUCAAUUUCACCAUGCUGGAUCUGAGGAUAGCUGAUUUUUCAAUGAACCUCUUCACCGGUCCAAUUCCUGAAAGUAUCUACUCAUGCAGCAAUCUAGUUGCGCUGCGGCUGGCUUACAACAACUUUCAUGGCCACUUCUCACCAAUAAUAGGCAAUCUCAGGUCCCUCUCCUUCUUUUCAAUUACCAACAACUCUUUUAAAAAUAUCACAAACGCACUUCAAAUGCUCAAGAGCUGCAAGAACCUCACCUCCCUGCUUAUCGGAACCAACUUCAAGGGUGAAACCAUACCACAGGAUGAAACAAUUGAUGGUUUUGAGAAUCUUCAGGUACUGACCAUAGAUGCUUGCCCAUUGGUUGGGAAAAUUCCUCUUUGGAUAUCAAAGCUUGCAAAAUUGAAGAUGAUAGAUUUAUCAGUAAACUAA
rnacentral:rRNA from 1 species